AUUGAACGCUGGCGGCAUGCUUUACACAUGCAAGUCGAACGGUAACAGGCCGCAAGGUGCUGACGGGUGGCGUACGGGUGAGUAAUGCAUCGGAACGUGCCGAGUCGUGGGGGAUAACUACUCGAAAGAGUAGCUAAUAACGCAUACGAGACAUGUAAUAAAGCGGGGGAGCGAAAGGGCUCGCGCGAUUGGAUGGGCCGCUGUGAGAUUAGGUAGUUGGCGGGGUAAAGGCUCACCAAGGGGACGAUCUGUAGCUGGUCUGAGAGGAUGACCAGCCACACUGGGACUGAGACACGGCCCAGACUCCUACGGGAGGCAGCAGUGGGGAAUAUUGGACAAUGGGCGAAAGCCUGAUCCAGCAAUGCCGCGUGAGUGAUGAAGGCCUUAGGGUUGUAAAGCUCUUUUACCCGGGAUGAUAAUGACAGUACCGGGAGAAUAAGCCCCGGCUAACUCCGUG
rnacentral:rRNA from 1 species